rnacentral:rRNA from 1 species
UACGUAGGGACCGAGCGUUGUCCGGAAUCAUUGGGCGUAAAGAGCGUGUAGGCGGCCUGCUAAGUCCUGCGUGAAAUCUCGGGGCUCAACCCCGAGCGGUCGUGGGAAACUGGCAGGCUAGAGUGCGGGAGAGGAGAGUGGAAUUCCUGGUGUAGCGGUGAAAUGCGCAGAUAUCAGGAGGAACACCGGUGGGCGAAGGCG